rnacentral:lncRNA from 1 species
UCCCCCGGGGGUAGCAAAGAGUGGCCUUGAACUUCUCCUCGGCGAUGCCUUCAGGAAGGAAACGACGUAGACAACGCCGCCAUCGCCGGCUUUGGCAGUAGCCGAAAACAAGCUUUUACCCAGAUCUGUUCGAAGAACCCAUCUCUCCUGCACGGGCCACCACAUCCUGCGACGUCCCCGGGAGCGGGAUCCCAAGAUCCGCCGCCACCGGCAACGCCACAAGGACCCACCACCGGACCGUCAUCCCUGACGAAGGGGAUGGCGCCACCACCAUGUUCAGAUCCAGCAUCAUCCGAGAAGGAGAACCGAUCUGGGGUUGUGAACCCUAGACCCGCCGUCAGCCCCCGCAGCGCCGCCAAGAUCCCAUCAGGCCGCCGCC